GAAAGCUGGCGGCGUGCCUAAUACAUGCAAGUCGAGCGGACAUUUGGGAGCUUGCUCCCUGAUGUUAGCGGCGGACGGGUGAGUAACACGUGGGUAACCUGCCUGUAAGACUGGGAUAACUCCGGGAAACCGGGGCUAAUACCGGAUGCUUGUUUGAACCGCAUGGUUCAAACAUAAAAGGUGGCUUCGGCUACCACUUACAGAUGGACCCGCGGCGCAUUAGCUAGUUGGUGAGGUAAUGGCUCACCAAGGCAACGAUGCGUAGCCGACCUGAGAGGGUGAUCGGCCACACUGGGACUGAGACACGGCCCAGACUCCUACGGGAGGCAGCAGUAGGGAAUCUUCCGCAAUGGACGAAAGUCUGACGGAGCAACGCCGCGUGAGUGAUGAAGGUUUUCGGAUCGUAAAGCUCUGUUGUUAGGGAAGAACAAGUACCGUUCGAAUAGGGCGGUACCUUGACGGUACCUAACCAGAAAGCCACGGCUAACUACGUGCCAGCAGCCGCGGUAAUACGUAGGUGGCAAGCGUUGUCCGGAAUUAUUGGGCGUAAAGGGCUCGCAGGCGGUUUCUUAAGCCUGAUGUGAAAGCCCCCGGCUCAACCGGGGAGGGUCAUUGGAAACUGGGGAACUUGAGUGCAGAAGAGGAGAGUGGAAUUCCACUACCCUGGUA
rnacentral:rRNA from 1 species